UAUAAAUAUUUCUGAACGGCUUGGUUUGUUUGUUUUGCGUUUCGAAUGAUUUGUUAGAAUGUCAAAUUGUGCGGCGUGUUCGAGAAAAUCAUCGUUGAAUUUGUUGCAAUUGAAUAAUAUUAGAAACGUUCAUGAUAUUUGCGCUCUAAUUUGUCAUUGAUUGAGGACGAACACGAAGGGGGACAAACAGAAAAACAGUGACAAAUGCCUUUUCCUGUGUGAGAUAUUUCAAAUUCUAUAGCAUUAUUAGAUUCUGUCAACAGUACCAAGAUAGUGAUCCGUUGUUGAACAAAAUUCCCUCAAGUGACAACCCGUUCACUCAUCAGGAUAAACCUUGUGCUGUUUUGUAAUGGUGAAAGUUAACUUAAAUGAUACGAUUACAUACACGUAAAUCAUGGAUAUUGGAUAAUCAUUUUA